rnacentral:snRNA from 1 species
AUCGCUUCUCGGCUUUUUGGCUAAGAUCAAAGUGUAGUAUCUGUAAAGCUGCAUAAAAUGGUUUAAAAUGAAUACAUUUGAGCUUUUUACUUGAAGACCUUUCCUUCUUGUUCUUCUUGGAUUUUCAUCAGGACCGUUGAUGAGGGUAAUCAUC